UCGAGAAUCAUUCGCAAUGGGCGAAAGCCUGACGAUGCGACGCCGUGUGAGCGAAGAAGGCCUUAGGGUCGUAAAGCUCUUUCGCCUGGGAACAAGAGAGGUUGGCUAACAUCCAACUCAUUUGAGGGUACCAGGUAAAGAAGCACCGGCUAACUCCGUGCCAGCAGCUGCGGUAAUACGGAGGGUGCAAGCAUUAAUCGGAUUUAUUGGGCGUAAAGGGCGCGUAGGCUGAAAAAUAAGUCAGAUGUGAAAUCCCGGGGCUCAACCCCGGAACUGCAUUUGAAACUGUUUUUCUAGAGGGUAGGCGGAGAAAACGGAAUUCCACAAGUAGCGGUGAAAUGCGUAGAUAUGUGGAAGAACACCGGUGGCGAAGGCGGUUUUCUAGCUUACUCCUGACGCUGAUGCGCGAAAGCAAGGGGAUCAAACAGGAUUAGAUACCCCCGUAGUCC
rnacentral:rRNA from 1 species